GCCAGAUGGCUCACAGAGGUCCUGCCCUUUGGCUGCGCUUACCUGGAUGCCACUGCCCAAUGCUGGUAACUCAGAAUACUGGAUUUCUUCCUGUUCUAGAUGGACUCCCUGCUUCUCCUCGCCACGAGCAGAGGUUCUAUUCUUCCGAAGCGUCCAGGUUUCUAAGCUCGCAUUAUAUUUUACCUUUUUGGGAAAUUCCUUUCCUAGAAAGGAACAGCUGGUCUUAAUCUGUUCCGAUGAUACCUACUGAUCUAUACAGCAAGAGCAAAGCGAGGCCAACUGUGUUGGAAAGCAUCGUGGGCUUCUCCGCAAAUAUUCAUUCACUGUUUCGGACUCUCUUUUUAAAGCCAUGAUGUAGAGAGGCACUUCGAGCUUGCUCCCCACGUUUUCCAUUAGUGGUAAUUUAAAACUUUGAAAAAUGUACAGUAACUUGCCUGGGUCAGCUGAGUAUCAGCAUGUAGCUUUUCAUUCACAUUUUUCAUUUAAUCCGGUGGCUUUGAAUUCCUUGCCUUGUAAGUUCCUAUAUAUGAAGAUUAGAAACUGCUCCUGGCUAUGUAGAAUUACAUGCUUUUAGAUGAAAUUUAAUCCCUUGUAAAAGGUUUUGUUCGCUGUGCUCUUUCCUGUUCUCAGCAACAGGCUCCCUCACCGGGAGAGGAUGGCACAGGUGAAGACAACAGCGGACAAAAAGCCAAAAUCACAGCCCACGUUGAGGAUCAAAUCUUUAUCAGAGCCUUCAGCGACCUGGCAGCUUGGAGGCUUCUGCUUUCGAUUCCAGGAAAGCAGAGCAGCAAAAUUAAAGCCUGCAAAACCUACUGAGAAUAAAUUGGAUGUGUCCGCACCGCCUGUGUUUUGACAGCGCUUGAGGUGGGGAGGCUUGGCGCUGGGAGGGCCGGGUGUGCGCUCCAAGCUCUGCAUCCCACGGCCCUGCUGGGACUGCUGAGAAGCAGAACCCUCCACCAGGACGCAGGGAGGGCCAAAGGG
ensembl:lncRNA